GAUGAAGAACGCAGCGAAAUGCGAUAAGUAAUGUGAAUUGCAGAAUUCAGUGAAUCAUCGAAUCUUUGAACGCACCUUGCGCCCUUUGGACAUUCCGAAGGGCAUGCCUGUUUGAGUAUCAUGAACACCUCAACUCUCACGGCUUGUCCGUGAUGAGCUUGGACUUUGGGGGUCUUGCCGGCCUGUGGUCGGCUCCUCUCAAAUGGAUCAGCUUGCCAGUGUUUGGUGGCAUCACAGGUGUGAUAACUAUCUGCGCUUGUCGUUUUCCAUCAGAUAACCUUCAGUGAUAUGGAGGUUCGCUGGAGCUCACAAAUGUCUCUCCUUAGUGAGGACAGCUCUUUGAACGUUUGAUCUCAAAUCAGGUAGGACUACCCGCUGAACGUAAGCAUAUCAAUAAGCGGAGGA
rnacentral:misc_RNA from 1 species